CCGUGCUAGCCGGGGAGUUUGCGGUGUCUUGUAACCUGCAAUCCGCAAUAGCAGGGGUGAAUUCCUAUGCUGAGGUUUGAUCUUGUUUGGCCGUCCUGUAUAAGUGGUGACGACGAUUGGGUCCCGCGCAAUGAAAACUCGCAAACCCCGUGAGACCCGGAAGGGAGCAGCGGUAAGCGAACCAUUUCAUGUGCCGUGGGGAUGCCUGAUCUGAGCUAACUGUGCAGGUAACGCUUAUGAGAUCAACAUCGAAGAUAGGUGCACGG
rnacentral:SRP_RNA from 1 species